rnacentral:rRNA from 1 species
UACAGAGGUCUCAAGCGUUGUUCGGAAUUACUGGGCGUAAAGGGCGCGUAGGCGGCGUGUCAAGUCAGGCGUGAAAGCCCCGGGCUCAACCUGGGAACCGCGCUUGAGACUGGCAUGCUCGAGUUCGGGAGAGGAUGGUGGAAUUCCCAGUGUAGAGGUGAAAUUCGUAGAUAUUGGGAAGAACACCGAUGGCGAAGGCAGCCAUCUGGACCGACACUGACGCUGAGGCGCGAAAGCGUGGGGAGCAAACAGGG